UACGGCUACCUUGUUACGACUUCACCCCAGUCGCUGACCUUACCGUGGCCUGCUGCCUCUAAAAGUUAGCACACAGUCUUCGGGUAAAACCAACUCCCAUGGUGUGACGGGCGGUGUGUACAAGGCCCGGGAACGUAUUCACCGUGGCAUGCUGAUCCACGAUUACUAGCGAUUCCAACUUCAUGCUCUCGAGUUGCAGAGAACAAUCCGAACUGAGACGGCUUUUAGAGAUUAGCUCCUCAUCGCUGAGUGGCUGCUCACUGUCACCGCCAUUGUAGCACGUGUGUAGCCCGGCCCGUAAGGGCCGUGAUGAUUUGACGUCAUCCCCACCUUCCUCCGGCUUAUCACCGGCAGUCCCUCUAGAGUGCCCAACUUAAUGCUGGCAACUAAAGGCGAGGGUUGCGCUCGUUGCGGGACUUAACCCAACAUCUCACGACACGAGCUGACGACAACCAUGCAGCACCUGUAUCCAAUCCAGCCGAACUGAAGGAAAGCAUCUCUGCUAUCCGCGAUUGGUAUGUCAAGGGCCGGUAAGGUUCUUCGCGUUGCCUCGAAUUAAACCACAUGCUCCACCGCUUGUGCGGGCCCCCGUCAAUUCCUUUGAGUUUUAGUCUUGCGACCGUAGUCCCCAGGCGGGGUGCUUAACGCGUUAGCUGCGUCACCAAACAGCAUGCUGCCUGACAACUAGCACCCAUCGUU
rnacentral:rRNA from 1 species